CUGGCGUCGGCUCCUCUCAAACGGAUCAGCUUGCCAGUGUUUGGUGGCGUCACGGGUGUGAUAACUAUCUACGCUUGUGGUUUUCCGCCAUGUAACCUUCAGCGAUGGAGGUUCGCUGGAGCUCACAGAUGUCUCUCCUCGGCGAGGACGGCGUUUGAACGUUUGAUCUCAAAUCAGGUAGGACUACCCGCUGAACUUAA
rnacentral:misc_RNA from 1 species